UGCACAUUCCAUUUUGGGAAGGGAAUUUUCCUUUCAUCCCGUGUACACACCUAUAAAAAGCUAAAUAUACACCUAGAGAUCACACCAUAGAUCAGCCGCAUAACACCACAAUCAACCGCAAGAGUUUGAUUUUCAGCUAGACCUAAAAAACACCUCAAGGACCUGAUUAAAGAAAAAGCCUUUCUUCUUCAUGCGAAAACCCACCAUGGAAGAGCCAUAAGUAUGCAGCACGUGAACCUUACCUUCAUAGCAUGACUAGUUUGUGAAUUUGGAUUCUACAUGUGCAUUGCCUUUUGCCAUCUAUAUUAGAUCCAUAUUGUUUCAAUUCUAGUCAAAAUAUUUAAUUUUUGUUCGCUUUCUUAAUGGGGUUUUAAUGCUCCCAGGUAAUUAUGGGAUUUACUUUGUCUUGAACUGGUUUUAAAAAGAAGUCAUUUUCAAUUUGCUUUCGUUCAAUGUCUUAAAGUAAUAAAACAGUACUGUAAGGAGUCUUUAUUGUUAAAUGGUCCAAUCUUUUGUUUUGUCUUCUUUAUCUUUUUCUACAUAUACUUGAAAUAAUUUAAUGCUUUAUUGAGACAUGAUUUGCGUACUCUGCUUGGUUGGGUUUAUUUGUGCAAAAAUUGUUUAAACAUGGAGAAUGCUAGAUGAAAUGUUGGCAUUGUCCUUUAAUUUGCUUCAGUAUGACAAACAUAAUUCUUGGGAUCGUAAAUACCACGCGGCUGGUUCGUUUAAUGUUUUGGCUUGUCGAUUAACACCGAGUCUCUUAAAUCAAGUUCAUGAUCCGGUAUUAGAUAACCGUAGACAAACAUUAGCACAUAUCAAGCGUUAAACAAACAGAGUCCCUGUUUAAAAUUGUGUUGAUCAUGUGGAUAGACUCGUUCCUUGGUUAAAUGCAUAUACUUAAAGAAAAGUCAUGUGGAUCAUCCCGCUCAUAAUAAUUGUGUUGACCAUGUGGACAGACCCGUUCCUUGAUUAAAUGCAUAUAAUUAAAGAAAAGUCAUGUGGGUCAUCCCGCUCCUUGACACUCUAAUAGUAUAAUUAAUGAAAGACCUUAUGUGCAUACAUGUUCUUAAGUUUAAACAAUUAUAACACGUUUUAUCCAAGAAUUAAUUAUAACCAAAUAUAAGUCAAUAAAAGAUCGUGCUAAAAUCACGGGACUCGGGGAAUGCCUAACACCUUCUCCCCGAUCAACAGAAUUCCUUACCCCGUCUUUUGUUUUUGCGGACCAAAAUGAAGAGUCAUUUACUUUUGAUUAGGAAUUCAAUAAGGUGACUUGGAACGCCAAAACGCAAUUUCAAGAGGCGACUCUGUAAAUAAAUAAUCUUUUUUCAAAAUAUUCACUUCAACUGGAAAACCCCUUAUAAAUAAAUAAAGACUCAUGUGCAUUUAUUGCGCGGGACCCAAAAAGGGGUAUGACACCAUCUACAAAGAAAUUUUGUAGAAUGCAACCACCGCAUGAUAUCUUCAAUUGUUGCUUGCUCUGUUUGCAGAUUUUACAAGCAAUCAUGCAAUGGUUGCAUUCUGCAGAAUUUCUUUGUAGAUGAUAACAUUUCUGAUUUGUCCUUGGUGAAAAGUCAAUUCGAAGGUGUCUCUCAACUAAAAGAAAAUGUUCAGUCGCUGAUGGAUGAUGAAGAACGCAUUGCUUAUAUAGGAUAUUUGAUAUUGGUUGCCAAAAUGAAAGAGGGAUUUGAUUGUCUCAAUCAAGUUGAUACAAGAACCCCUCGGUACUGGAAAACUUAUAACAGGCCUCUCUUGAAGCCUCUAGAAGAAGAUCACAAUGACGCUUCAUAUGGCGGGCCUUGGCUUUGAGGCCAUCAUAGAAAGUGCCAAGAUCUUCAACCAGUUCACUUACUUCCUUAAAGACGCCACCCAAAUCGUCAAUAGAACGAGUAUUAAGAUUUCCCUUAAACAGCACAAGACUUCUACUUCCUAGUGGACGAUGCAGAUUUCUGGUGCUGUUUAAGGGAAACCUUAAUACUAGUUCUUCUUGACGAUUUGGGUGGCGUCUUUAAGGAAGUGUACUGGUUGAAGAUGUUGGCACUUUCUAUGAUGGCCUCAAAGCCAAGGCCCGCCAUAUGAAGCGUCAUUGUGAUCUUCUAGAGGCUCCAAGAGAGGCCUGUUAUAAGUUUUCCGGUACUGAGUGGAUUUUGUAUCAACCUGAUGACCUCAGAACUUCUAUGUCCCUUCCGGAUCGACGCAGGGCCCAAACUAGAGUAAGAGAAGUGAUGGAGUUCAGUUUGAGGUGUCAACAAGUAGAAGCAGCUUCGGUUCUCCUCCAAACAGCACAUGUUCCAAGGUUAUGUUAUGGUGACCUUGGAGAGCAAGGGGGCUGGUGUCAAUGUUUGACUUGGUGUUUGUUUAUGCUUUCUCUUUUGGAUCUAAGGAUGUACUUAACUUGUUAGUUUUUCUACUAUGUUCUGUUUUGGAUUAAAACUCAACUUGUUAGUUUUUUCUACUGUGUUCUGUUUUGGAACAUUAAUGUUUGAGAAUGUGUGUUCUGUUUUGGAUAAACUCUACUGUGUUUUGAAGACGAUGAGAAAUUGGAAGUGAAAAAAAAGAUAAUUAAAGCAAAAUCAUUUGGUGAUUU